UGGUUGUAGUGGAGAAUGCGGAGACAUGGUGAAAACAGCAGCAAAUGCUAGCGGCUGCGGUAGUGGAUGUAGCGGUGAAUGCGGAGACAUGGUGAAAACAGCAUCAAAUGCUAGCGGCUGCGGUAGUGGAUGUAGCGGUGAAUGCGGAGACAUGGUGAAAGCAGCGAAAGCUAGCGGUUGCGGCAGUGAUUGUGGUGGAGAAUGCGGAGACAUGAUGAAAGCAGCGAAAGCUAGCGGCUGUGGUGGUGGCUGUAGCGGUGAAUGUGGUGGAAACAUGGUGAAAGCAGCAAAUGCUAGCGGCUGUGGUGGUGG
rnacentral:lncRNA from 1 species